rnacentral:tRNA from 1 species
GGUGGCAUAGUGGUUAAGCGUUUGGCUGCUAACCAAAAGGCUGGCAGUUCAAAUCCAUCAGCCA